UGCCAGCAGCCGCGGUAAUACGGAGGAGGCAAGCGUUGUUCGGAAUCACUGGGCUUAAAGCGGGUGUAGGCGGAAUGGCAGGUGUCUUGUGAAAGCCCUCGGCUCAACCGAGGAACUGCAGGGCAAACCGCCAUUCUUGAGGCAGGUAGAGGCAAGUGGAACUAUGGGUGGAGCGGUGAAAUGCGUAGAUAUCCAUGGGAACGCCGGUGGCGAAAGCGGCUUGCUGGGCCUGUCCUGACGCUGAGACCCGAAAGCGUGGGUAGCAAACAGGAUUAGAUA
rnacentral:rRNA from 1 species